rnacentral:rRNA from 1 species
AACCUCCGCAAUGUGAGAAAUCGCGACGGGGGGAUCCCAAGUGCCAUUCUUAACGGGAUGGCUUUUCAUUAGUGUAAAGAGCUUUUGGAAUAAGAGCUGGGCAAGACCGGUGCCAGCCGCCGCGGUAACACCGGCAGCUCUAGUGGUAACAAUUUUUAUUGGGCCUAAAGCGUCCGUAGCCGGUUUAAUAAGUCUCUGGUGAAAUCCUGCAGCUUAACUGUGGGAAUUGCUGGAGAUACUAUUAGACUUGAGACCGGGAGAGGUUAGAGGUACUCCCAGGGUAGAGGUGAAAUUCUGUAAUCCUGGGAGGACCGCCUGUUGCGAAGGCGUCUAACUGGAACGGUUCUGACGGUGAGGGACGAAAGUUAGGGGCGCGAACCGGAUUAGAUACCCGGGUAGUCCUAACUGUAAACGAUGCGGACUUGGUGUUGGGGUGGCUUUGAGCUGCUUCAGUGCCGAAGGGAAGCUGUUAAGUCCGCCGCCUGGAAAGUACGGUCGCAAGACUGAAACUUAAAGGAAUU